GUGUUGUAUGAAAGGAGAGAAGGUUAGCACUCCCUUUGAGAAGGAUGGAAGAGGUCCUAGUGGCCUUUGCAACACACAUAUGGUUAAUAAUAAUAAUGUUGGCAUUUGUUAAGCGCUUACUUUGU